UACGGAGGGGGCUAGCGUUGUUCGGAAUUACUGGGCGUAAAGCGCACGUAGGCGGCUUUGUAAGUUAGAGGUGAAAGCCCAGGGCUUAACCCUGGAAUUGCCUUUAAGACUGCAUCGCUAGAAUCGUGGAGAGGUGAGUGGAAUUCCGAGUGUAGAGGUGAAAUUCGUAGAUAUUCGGAAGAACACCAGUGGCGAAGGCGAACUCAC
rnacentral:rRNA from 1 species